AUCAAUCCUUGGUUGUGUGACCAUUGGUGGAUUGAGGCAAGAGGACCAAGUGGAGUGACCAACCCUUGGGGUUGUGUGCAAUUGAGGAAAGCUCAAGAGCAAGGUAAGGAAGCUGCAGGAGACUCUGAUGGCAAGUGGCCUUAUUUGCAGUAGAUCAUGCAUGAAGAAAAUGAUGUUUUGAGAUCAUACAUGUUAUUUUGUAGAUUUACAUGUAUAGGAUUGAUCAUUGAUAGCAUUGACGUAUGUAUAUCUCGUUAUAUUUGAUGGACUUAGCCU